rnacentral:rRNA from 1 species
UACGUAGGGGGCAAGCGUUGUCCGGAUUUAUUGGGCGUAAAGAGCGUGUAGGCGGCCGUACAGGUCAGCUGUGAAAACUCGAGGCUCAACCUCGAGACGUCGGUUGAAACCGUACGGCUAGAGUCCGGAAGAGGCGAGUGGAAUUCCCGGUGUAGCGGUGAAAUGCGCAGAUAUCGGGAGGAACACCUAUGGCGAAGGCAGCUCGCUGGGACGUUACUGACGCUGAGACGCGAAAGCGUGGGGAGCGAACAGG